AACGCGAAGAACCUUACCCAGGCUUGACAUGCAGUAGACCGGUCUAGAAAUAGGCCUUUCCUUCGGGACUGCUGCACAGGUGCUGCAUGGCUGUCGUCAGCUCGUGCCGUGAGGUGUUGGGUUAAGUCCCGCAACGAGCGCAACCCUUAUCAUUAGUUGCCAACAUUUAAGGUGGGAACUCUAAUGAGACUGCCCGGGUUAACCGGGAGGAAGGUGAGGAUGACGUCAAGUCCGCAUGGCCCUUAUGUCUGGGGCUACACACGUGCUACAAUGGUCGGUACAGAGGGCAGCAAAUCCGCAAGGUAGAGCAAAUCCCAAAAAAGCCGAUCCCAGUUCAGAUUGUAGUCUGCAACUCGACUACAUGAAGUUGGAAUUGCUAGUAAUGGCGAGUCAGCAACAUCGCCGUGAAUACGUUCCCGGGCCUUGUACACACCGGCUAC
rnacentral:rRNA from 1 species